rnacentral:tRNA from 1 species
GGUGGCGUGGUAGAGAGGCUAUACAGCGGAUUGCAAAUCCGUGGACGUCGGUUCAAAUCCGGCCGCCACCUCCA